GUGCUAACUCUAAUCCGUUUGUUGUAACAGGAAAUGGAAAUCAGAUCUUUGUCGGAGAAUGGGUGGUGGAUCCAUGUCAGAGAGGCUGAUGUCACUCAAGGAUCGGAACAUCUCUUCCAUUGAGAAUGGUACCUGAAGAUCACAAAAAUCAGAUGAAUCUGCUAAAUUGGAAAAACCAGAAAAAGAACCGGUGGAAGAGUGGAUUAUGCUUACGUGGUUCCCAGACAUUAAACCCAAGGUAUGAUCAAGCUUAUUAACAAUGCUCUGCCAAUGUAUGUUUGAUGCUUGUUGCUUUGCAACUAUAUUUGAAUGGAUACUUUUAGAUGACCCUCUUAUUGAUCUAACCCGUGAUGAUCUAGGUGCCUGUUUUUGAUAAUUAAGAGUUUAGUUUUGCAUGUUGAUUUGUUGUCAUCUAAAUUUUUUGCCUACAUAAGAUGCUUACCUGAAUGCACAAGUUAAGGAACUGGCUGAUCUCUUUCUUCAAAUUGUCACGGAUCAUCCCAUAUAUUUUCUCAACACAUGCAGUUAGAUGUUGUUUAAAUAGUAGGGCUGGGUACUUAGCUUCCACUUUCAAUUGUUCAUUCGGUUUUCCCUCCAUUCCACUGUAGCCGCUUGAAAUUCCCGUGCCCAAUGAA